rnacentral:misc_RNA from 1 species
CAAUUUUUUUUAUAUAUUUUAAACCUUCCUUUUCUCUUCUUUCAAACAGGUGCUAUUUCCAACGACUUCGCAAUACAUCAGCAUUCCCAAGCUGUCUGAUGAAGAGGUGAUCCAUAUCCUGGAUGCGUGUCUCUCAUAUCGCAGACGGCAGUUGACACCAUCACAGAGGAAGGUCGUUGAAGCCGCAUUCCAGAGGUGUCCGCUUCCACUCUUCCUCAAGAUGUCAGUCGACCAGGCCUGCCAGUGGCGGUCGUUCACCCCGGCUGACAUCACAGUGUUGCAAUAUACCAUCGGUCAAAGCAUCAAUACUCUUUUUGAAAAAAUCGAAAAACUUCACGGGAAAAUAUUCGUCUCCAAGGCACUGGGCUAUCUUACUAUAAGUAAAUCUGGGCUAUCAGACAGCGAACUGGAGGAUGUGUUGUCAUGUGACGAUGACGUAUUGGAUGAACUCUUCACUUAUUGGACCCCUUCUAUUCGCCGAUUACCUCCCCUUCUUUUAGUCAGGCUGAAAAACGAAUUGGGGAAUUAUUUAGUUGAUCGUGGUGCUGAUGGUGUCCGGGUGUUCUUCUGGUAUCACCGUCUGUUUCUGGAAGCUGCUAAAACUCGCUACUGUGUAAACCAGCGAGUUAGCCAAGGCCUGCACGCCGGUCUGGCAGAUUUCUUUGCAGGUACCUGGGCUGAAGGACUGUCGAAACCCUACAAGGAUUCGAAAGGAGCGUCUGGAACGGCAGAUCGUCACGUGGCAGCCCAGCCAAUCAAAUUUGAUGAAAUUUAUAAUCUACGAAAACUUAACAAUUUACCUUUCCACCGAAUUACUGCAGGGCAGGUGGAUUUAGUGAAGAAAGAGUGUCUGUGCAAUUUUGAAUUCAUCCUAGCCAAGCUCAAAGCUGUUGGAGUAAGACAGGUUCUGGACGACCUGAUCGAGGCUCACGCCAUGUUUCCUGACGAUCUUCAGAUACAGACGGUGUCGGAGGUCCUUCAGCUGUCUCAGACGAGUCUGGCGUACAACCCCGACGAACUGCCUUCCCACAUCAUAGGACGCAUCAGACGUACAAAGGGUCUCAAGUCCCUGGUGUCUCAGUGUCAGAAGGCCCAGCAUGGCUUCCUGCUGCCCAACCUACCCGUGCUCAACCCUACAGGCGGCCCGCUUCUGCACUGCCUGGCAGAACACACGGCCGAGGUCACUGGCAUUGACAUGAUGUCAAGCGGCAAGAAAAUGGUCACAUGUUCAUACGACAAUUCUGUCAAAAUCUGGGACGUCUCAGCUGGGAAGCUGCUACAUUCGUUUGAUAACGUGGGUGAGAGACCUUCGAAAGUGAUGAUCUGCUACAAAAACACCAUUGCAUGUGUGGAAACAAUGAACUCCUUGAUAGCCUUCGAGAUUAUGACGGGAGUCCAGCAGCGAUUCAAACUGGACCUGAACAUGGAGAAAUCGUGUGUCUGUAGCACUGGGGAAAACAAGACAAGACUGGCCAUUUUCAGCGGGACUAUUUUGAAACUGCGCAGCGCGAGGACAGGAAAACAGCUGGGGCAGGAGGAAUGUUCUUUGUUGGAAACUGGGGAGGAAUUUGGACAAGGGUGUGUCUGUACAGGAUGUAACACAAUAAUAGCCAUUUCGGUGGGCAGCAGAGUUAUCCUGUACGACUUGCCAGCGACCCAGUUCUACGAGGACACGAUUCACAUUCCUGAAGUGGACGAGACUAUUAAGGAUCUAGUGACCUGCAUGGCGUUCUGUGCGUCUGACAAGCGCAUUGUCAUUGGGUGCGGAGUCUCCGUGACCUUUUACGUCAUUGAUCUUGCAGACAAAACCAUUAUACAGUCACUUCCAGGAGUAAAACAUGACCGCAUGGCAUCCUUUGUACGCGUGACCAACGACGACCGGUACCUGAUAACGGCUAGCUGGGAGAAAAUCGUCAUCUGGGAUUUAAAGACGUCAUCUCGCUACCCGGUCCUCAAACACCCGACUCGGGCCGUCACCAACGUGGCGUCGGUCGACGGCAACAUCAUGGCCACCAUAGCGAGCGACGCCGUGGUCAGACUGUGGGAUCUCUCGCGCGAUGACGCAUCCAUUCAUCCAGGCAACAACGGCUUCAUAACUCCACGUGACGAAAAAAGACAUUCCGCAAGCCCCAUUGAUAGUCAGCUAGUUACGCCGAUUCAAGAGAUAGAUGACGAUUUCCAUAUUAGUGAGAUCUACGUCACCACAAACCCGAGAUAUGUUCUACUCUAUGGUAAGGUCGAUCGUGAUGGCGUAAAGACACAGAUUCUACGAGUUUACGAUUUGGGAACAUGCAGACCUAUAAGACAGCUGAAACUGGACGAAGGUAAAUCCAGCUACCAGGUUGUCAUGGUUGGAGACAGACAGACGCUGGUGGUGGAGUGGACGGGAAGAGUCCGACUCCUCGAUCUUUUUAUUGCCAAAUAUGUGGGUCAGCUUUCAGAAUACAUUCCACAAAACUCCACCUUGCCUCAGGACUUGGUUGUCCUUACAAAUACUUCAGAAGUUCUGAGUUUAUCUGAAAACCGGCUUAGCAUCAAGAUCUUCUGUCUGAAAACAUGCAAAUGUACUGAUACAAUCGAUGCUGGGAAACCAAAGAAAAUAACCGGAUUUGUUAAAAACGCCGCCGAGAGCACUCUAGUGGCAGCCACGUUGAAGGGCCCCUAUCUAGUGUUCGACUUGACGUCACGACGGUUCAUCUACCAUUUCGAUUCAGCCAGCAUGAACGUGAAGAACUUUAACGAGUCCAAAUUGACAGAUGACGACAGGUAUCUGGUGUGUCGUGAACAGUCUGGGGACGCCUCACAGCUCGUCGUCUGGGAACUCAAAACACGUCGUGUCCACGUUAGGCUAGCCACAGACGCCUAUGAGUUGGACAAUAACAACAUAUCAAAUACGAUUAGUCUAAGAAAGUUUGUCAUCGUUGAUAACAGAACCGUGCUGGCAUCUUACAGUGACGACUCGCUACGAUCACAUGACUUGAGAUCAGGACAACUGUUGCAAGAGGUAAAGAUUCGAGGUGGUGUCUUGUGGGUCAGUCUGCGGCCAGACAGUCAGUACGUCUUUACCUACAACAACGUCAUCGACGACAACGUCAUGAGGAUCUGGGAUAAGACCACACUUCAGUGUCUCGCUUCAUAUUCUCCUGACUUCAGGCCUGUCGCGAUCACCAUGAGUCAAGAUGGACACUGCGUGCUGGCCAGUUUCCGGCAGAUGUCCACUCCGAUCAUCUGGCGCAUGUACUCCAUGCCACGUCACACAUACAAGGCGGUAGACUGGAUGAAAUACCCAGAGAUUUAUGGGACCACUGAUCGGGCUGCCAGUGCUCUCUUGCGCUUUUCGGUUUGAGUAUGCGAACAGUGGUCUCCCCCCUCCAAACUUUCCUCCUGUCUUGGAAUGUGGAACUGUCCCACGCCAGAACUUGCGCUCAAGAGAGGCGUGUGCUACAACAGCUUUCUCUGAACGACCAUGUUAAAUCAUUUUCCUCAUCCUCAUUAUCAUCAUCAUCAUCAUCAUCAUCCCACUAUGUCGGACAUAGAGACUAAUUUGAGUGCGUCGGAAGUGGAAACCACAGUUACAACACCCGUGUCUUCAGUAACUGACGUGUCUUCCCAACAGACGGAAGCUACAACAUUGGUCGCUGAAGAUACCGAUGCGGAGACGG